UGUGUCAGGCGGGGAGCUAGCGGUGCCCUGUAUCUGCAAUCCGCUAUAGCAGAGCUUACAUGCCGGUCCCGGCUUCUAGUAUUCAGAGGUCCGAUUGGAAUAAGGGACGUCGAUCCUAAGGUCUUAUGCAACUUCACCCUGUGAACCGUGUCAGGAUAGGAAUAUAGCAGCACUAAGCAGGAAUUGGGUGUGCCAUAGGGUUGCUUUGGGGGAGUUACCUGUUUCGAUACC
rnacentral:SRP_RNA from 1 species